rnacentral:rRNA from 1 species
AGCAGCCGCGGUAAUUCCAGCUCCAAUAGCGUAUAUUAAAGUUGCUGCAGUUAAAAAGCUCGUAGUUGAAUUUCGGGACCAUCAUGUCGGUCGUGCCUCGGUACGUACUGGCAUUAUCGAUUCCUACCUUCUGAAGAACCUCGAUGUCAUUAAUUUGGUGUCUUGGGAAAUCAGGACUGUUACUUUGAAAAAUUAGAGUGUUUAAAGCAGGCUCACGCUUGAAUACAUUAGCAUGGAAUAAUGAAAUAGGACGUUCGAUCCUAUUUUGUUGGUUUUAGGAUCAACGUAAUGAUUAAUAGGGAUAGUUGGGGGCAUUAGUAUUCAAUUGUCAGAGGUGAAAUUCUUGGAUUUAUUGAAGACUAACUACUGCGAAAGCAUUUGCCAAGGAUGUUUUCAUUAAUCAAGAACGAAAGUUAGGGGAUCGAAGACGAUCAGAUACCGUCGUAGUCUUAACCAUAAACUAUGCCGACUAGGGAUCGGAUGAUGUUAAUUUUUAAUGACUCAUUCGGCGU